rnacentral:rRNA from 1 species
AAAACAUCGCCUCCUGCAAAAAUCAAUGUAUAGGAGGUCUUGCCUGCCCAGUGACAAGUUUAACGGCCGCGGUAUUUUGACCGUGCAAAGGUAGCGCAAUCACUUGUCUUUUAAAUGAAGACCUGUAUGAAUGGUGGAACGAGGGCUUAACUGUCUCCCCUUUCAAGUCAAUGAAAUUGAUCUGCCCGUGCAGAAGCGGACAUAUAAAUACAAGACGAGAAGACCCUUUGGAGCUUUAGAUACAAGAUCACCUAUGUCAAGGACCACAAAUUCAAGUCAAACUAAAUAGCAACCUGAUCCUAAUCUUUUGUUGGGGCGACCGCGGGAAAAAACAAAGCUCCCACGAGGACUGGGGCAACAACCCCAAAACCAAGAAAGACAUCUCUAAGUCACAGAACAUCUGACCAUAAAGAUCCGGCUAUACGCCGACCAACGGACCAAGUUACCCUAGGGAUAACAGCGCAAUCCCCUUCCAGAGUCCAUAUCGACAAGGGGGUUUACGACCUCGAUGUUGGAUCAGGACAUCCUAAUGGUGCAGCCGCUAUUAAGGG